UCAUUUAGAAACACCUGACCUGCUAUGAUCAGACAAAGUAUCUACUGAGAAAGAAGACCUGUCAAGGCACUGAUCCACAGUGUGGCGCCUCCCUUUAAGCACAUACUGAGACGGAACAGAUGGCAACCUCAACCGGAGAUGCCAUCACUACGACACAGCACACUCAGUCGGUACCUUCAUGCAAUAUAAUAAGGGCAAGAUUUAUUAACGGCUUGUUGUUAUGCAAGGGGGCAUCAUUAAAAGCAGUCCUUAAUGACAAAGUCAGAACCUAGUUUCACAAUAGUCUAAUUUAUUUUAAGGUUAUUAACCGUUCUUUACUCACCAUUUUUCUUUAGAAAAGAGUUAUAUCAUUCAAAUUUGUCAGUUGUAAAAGUUUCAAUAUGACUGUAUUUGGACAUGACAGCACAGUAUGAACAUGAAUUUAAAUGAAAGAGUGUCACAAUGAGUAUAACUAAUGUUUUGGUAAAAAGCUCUUGAUAGCAGAAAGCAGGCUGUUGCUGUCUUAAUUAGUCUUUGUAGAUAAAUGUUUUAUUUUCUUAAUAAAAUAUCUUUUUGAAUCAGUUUCUCUUCAAGCGUCAGUGCAUCUACUUUCUCCUUAUUCCUCUACCUGAUCUCUCUUUCACAUAAACACACAAAGAGGCAAACCAGCAAACACUUUUAUCUUCUCGUGACAAGGUGUCAGCAGGAGCAGGUGGAGGGCACUCUGCCACAUGCUGAACCAUCCGUCUGUUGCUGCCUGUCUCCAAAUCCCGCCAGGUACAUAGCAUACCAAUCCAGCGAAGUGAGAGAGAGAGGGAGAGGGAGAGAGAGAGACGAGCACUCUGCCGCAAUUUCAAGACAUCGAACAAAACACUUGUGGGAAGAGAAAUCACAGCCAAGACAUCAGACAAAGACUGACUGUGAAGCAGCAGAACGGACAUCUUUGCUGGCUUCAGCUAUUUGUAUUUUCUAGGAUCUGUGAGUGUGUUCACUCCAUGCUGCCAGUUUAUGAGAAAUACAUUAAAAAGUACUGGAAUAAAAGCAGAAAAGGCCAUAAAAAGAGAAGGUCUUCAUCUGGUUGUAGGCUGUAUAUUCAUACUUUAAAAUAAUGGCCCAACAUUUGAAAGACUUAUAUUUAAUAAAGUACAAAACAUACAUG